UACGGGGGGGGCAAGCGUUGUUCGGAAUUACUGGGCGUAAAGGGCUCGUAGGCGGCCAACUAAGUCAUACGUGAAAUCCCUCGGCUUAACUGGGGAACUGCGUGUGAUACUGGAUGGCUUGGAUUUGGGAGAGGGAUGCGGAAUUCCAGGUGUAGCGGUGAAAUGCGUAGAUAUCUGGAGGAACACCGGUGGCGAAGGCGGCAUCCUGGACCAAUAUUGACGCUGAGGAGCGAAAGCCAGGGGAACAAACGGG
rnacentral:rRNA from 1 species